UACGAAUGGGGCAAGCGUUGUUCGGAAUCACUGGGCUUAAAGCGUGCGCAGGCGGAUUUGCAAGUUGGGAGUGAAAUCCCCGGGCUUAACCCGGGAAUUGCUCUCAAAACUGCAAAUCUAGAAUCCAGGAGAGGUUAGCAGAAUUCCGAGUGUAGAGGUGAAAUUCGCAGAUAUUCGGAGGAAUACCAAUGGCGAAGGCAGCUAACUGGACUGGCAUUGACGCUCAGGCACGAAAGCGUGGGUAGCAAACAGG
rnacentral:rRNA from 1 species